rnacentral:rRNA from 1 species
AACGAACGCUGGCGGCGUGCCUAACACAUGCAAGUCGUGCGAGAAAGUUCCUUCGGGAGCGAGUAAAGCGGCGCACGGGUGAGUAACACGUAGGUAACCUGCCCCCCACGUCUGGAACAACUAGAGGAAACUCUAGCUAAUGCCGGAUGAGACCACGAUCCCUUCGGGGUUGGCGGCCAAAGAAUGGCCUCUACUUGUAAGCUAUCGCUGAGGGAUGGGCCUGCGGGCCAUUAGCUUGUUUGGUGAGGUAACGGCUCACCAAGGCUGUGAUGGCUAGCUGGUCUGAGAGGAUGACCAGCCACACUGGGACUGAGACACGGCCCAGACUCCUACGGGAGGCAGCAGUGGGGAAGUAUU